CAAUAUGAAGGUCAGGCUGAAGACCUUACCGGAUUAGCUGAGAGGUGGUGCAUGGCCGUCGUCAGUUCGUACUGUGAAGCAUCCUGUUAAGUCAGGCAACGAGCGAGACCCACGUCCACAGUUGCCAGCAUACCCUCCGGGGUGAUGGGUACACUGUGGAGACCGCCGCUGCUAAAGCGGAGGAAGGAAUGGGCAACGGUAGGUCAGUAUGCCCCGAAUCUCCCGGGCUACACGCGGGCUACAAUGGUUGGUACAAUGGGCAUCUACCCCGAAAGGGGAAGGAAAUCUCUUAAAGCCAAUCGUAGUUCGGAUUGAGGGCUGCAACUCGCCCCCAUGAAGCUGGAAUCCGUAGUAAUCGCGUUUCAACAGAACGCGGUGAAUACGUCCCUGCUCCUU
rnacentral:rRNA from 1 species